AGAGUUUGAUCCUGGCUCAGAAUGAACGUUGGCGGCGUGGAUUAGGCAUGCAAGUCGAGCGAGAACCUUGGAAGCUUGCUUUCGAGGGGACAGCGGCGAAAGGGAGAGCAACGUGUAGGUAUGUACCCCCAGGUUCGGGAUAGCGGCGGGAAACUGCCGGUAAUACCGAAUAAUGUCUCCGGACCAAAGGUGUGAUUCCACCUGGGGAGCGGCCUGCCUCCUAUUAGGUUGUUGGUGGGGUAAUGGCCUACCAAGCCAAAGAUGGGUACCGGGUGUGAGAGCAUGACCCGGCUCACUGGGACUGAGACACUGCCCAGACACCUACGGGUGGCUGCAGUCGAGAAUCUUCCGCAAUGGACGAAAGUCUGACGGAGCGACGCCGCGUGCGGGAUUAAGGCCUUCGGGUUGUAAACCGCUGUCAGAGAGGCGGAAAUGCAUGGUGGCUAUCCACUAUGUUUGACCUAUUCUCAGAGGAAGUCCGGGCUAAGUUCGUGCCAGCAGCCGCGGUAAUACGAACCGGACAAACGUUAUUCGGAAUCACUGGGCUUAAAGAGUUCGUAGGCGGCUUGGAAGGUGGGGCGUGAAAGCCCACGGCUUAACCGUGGAAGUGCGCUCCAAACCACUAGGCUUGAGGGAGACAGGGGUGAGCGGAACAGAUGGUGGAGCGGUGAAAUGCGUUGAUAUCAUCUGGAACACCGGUGGCGAAGGCGGCUCACUGGGUCUCUUCUGACGCUGAGGAACGGAAGCUAGGGGAGCGAACGGGAUUAGAUACCCCGGUAGUCCUAGCUGUAAACGAUGAGCACUAGUUCGAGGAGACCUUCACAUCUUCUCGGACGUAGCGAAAGUGUUAAGUGCUCCGCCUGGGGAGUAUGGUCGCAAGGCAA
rnacentral:rRNA from 1 species